ensembl:lncRNA
CAUAGAAAGGUCCUCAACAGGCACCAUGAAAUAGCUCAAAUAUUCAAGCAGCCUCCAUAUUAGUGGGAUUUUCCACAGCUACUCAGUUUUCUGGAAUGCCUGGUCCUAAGUGGGCUUUCUGCUCAAAUACAGAUGUUCUUUCAAGCUAGCUAGUUUGUGGAUGGACAGAAGGUUGGCUCUCCUAAACGUGGUGAAAAAUGACAUGAGGGGCUAUAUAUUUUGAAUGUAUUUACAAUCUGCCUUGACUCCUCUUCUGUAUAUCUCUGUAAUUCCAAAUAUGGCUGAUACAAACAAAGAAAAAGCAGUUCCUUUGGCCUUCAACGUUGAGUUAAGUCAAGCUUAGUCUUCAUCUAUUUUAUGAUCCAGCUGGCUUCUGAAGGAAGAACAUUUGGGUCUGCAAUCCUCUUCUCCCAUAUUGGCUGGGUGUCUUUGCUAAUAUACUGAACUUCUCAGUGUCCUCAGUAGGAAAGAGAGAGUAGAGAGAGAAUCUCUGCUUCCCAGGGUUGCAAUGGGACCCAGCUAGUGUAAGACGUGUACUUCGGAUCUGCCCAGAAUUAAGUGACGGUGCGUUCCGGCCAACUCAUUUGAAUUUCCCCAAGAGAACAGAUAAUUGACUUAUUGCCUUAAAGUCCUUGAGUCCUGCAAGCUGAUGGAGUCCAGAAGUUUAAAAUGCCACUGUUAUGAAUGAAAUGCCAAUUGAGAAGGGGCUGGUGCCAAUUCCUAAGAAAGUCUUCAGGCAUUAUCUUCAAAGGCAUGCAGAAAAUGGCCAUCAAGAAAAGUUGUUCAAUUGGCAGUUAACAUUUAAAAACUGAAAUGGGCCGUGUGGCUCACAACGUGAAUCAGGCAAACAGCAGCAAGAGGUUUCCAUGAACAUGAAGCUGCCAGUCAUUGUGGAAGCAGACUGCAGGGGAAAAAAAUUAAAAAGUGAUCCAGAGCUCCACCCAUUUGCACCUAAAUCCUGGAGUAGGUGAUGAUCCUCCACAACCUGGCCCAGUGCAUGCCCCCAAACUAAAACAAACAAACUCAUUUGCCAUACAAAUUGUUUACGAUUCAUUAAAAAGCAAAAUUGCAUAUCCCGGUGCUGGCAGCUGAGGCCGAGUCUCCACGGGCGGAGGGGGCAUUCACUGAGUUGCCUUUGUAUGCUGGGAGGACCAAGCCGGAGGUUCCCACUAUGAGCCCGGAGUCUAAGCAGCCAGAUGACACAGGAGCUUCCAGGGUACCAGAAAAUACUGUCCAAGCUACCAAAAGAGGGAAGAAGUUAAUAGUCCUACCCAGCUGUGAUACCUACUAACCAUGGCAAUGACCAGAAUGGCAAGAUAUCCAUCAAGUCAACCAACAUGUGGGGGAAGCUGAACCUAUGAAAUCUCAAAAAUAUUCUUCCCUGAACAAGACCUGCAUACCAACAUCACCAGUUGACAUGCCAGUAUGGAUGGGGAAAUUUCACAAGGCUUUUUCCUCAAAUGAAGAGCCAAAUGCAACUAAUGGCUGCUGAGAGAGAAUGAAUCAGUCUCCUUAGGAAAAAGUCCUCCCUGAUAGUUUAACCAAUCCCAAGUGGUCAGUCCUUAACAAAUAAACAUAUGAGCAAUACUAAAUGGACUCAGGCUGUAUUUAUAUAUACACAUGUACACAUACACACACACACACACACACACACACACACACACACACACACACACACACACACACAGCCUAAUUAAAGAAUAAAAGAAAAAGAGGAUAUGGAUUUGGGAGGAAGUGUGUGUGUGGGAAGAGUAGGAUUCAGGAGAAGGAGGCAUGGAAAUGAUGUAAAUAUAGAUUCAUGUGCUGAGUUAUUGUAUAACUUCCAGGGAUUUACCUGGCUAGGGGUGAGGAGGGAAUGAAGAAAUGACAGGCACACAGAGAAACACAAAGAAAUUGGCAUUGCAUAGACUGGCUCUCUGAUGGAGAUUCUCAGUAUGUUUAUUAUACACAGUUGAACACAGAGGUGGUAUUAUUGCAUACAGAUAAAUGAAGAGGCAAGGUUAUUAUAU